rnacentral:lncRNA from 1 species
AAGGACAAGCAACCGACUAUAUAAGUAUUUUUUUAAAAAAAAAUCAAUAAGAUGUUGAAAUUGUUAAUUUGCAUUCCAAAUUAUUCAUUGAACUUUGUAUUGUAUUUGUUUUUAGGUUUAAUUUCCUUUAAUUUAUUUUCAAAUUGAAGUUUAUCAUGAGUUAUAAGUUAUACAUUUUUUUUGUCUUUUCAUAAAAUACUUUUUAUUUAAAUUAAGAGGAUGGUGGAUUACUCCACGUUCUCCAAACGUG